AUGCUGGAGGUAUCAGAAGUGCGAAUGCUGACAUAAGUAACGAUAAAGCGGGUGAAAAGCCCGCUCGCCGGAAGACCAAGGGUUCCUGUCCAACGUUAAUCGGGGCAGGGUGAGUCGACCCCUAAGGCGAGGCCGAAAGGCGUAGUCGAUGGGAAACAGGUUAAUAUUCCUGUACUUGGUGUUACUGCGAAGGGGGGACGGAGAAGGCUAUGUUGGCCGGGCGACGGUUGUCCCGGUUUAAGCGUGUAGGCUGGUUUUCCAGGCAAAUCCGGAAAAUCAAGGCUGAGGCGUGAUGACGAGGCACUACGGUGCUGAAGCAACAAAUGCCCUGCUUCCAGGAAAAGCCUCUAAGCAUCAGGUAACAUCAAAUCGUACCCCAAACCGACACAGGUGGUCAGGUAGAGAAUACCAAGGCGCUUGAGAGAACUCGGGUGAAGGAACUAGGCAAAAUGGUGCCGUAACUUCGGGAGAAGGCACGCUGAUAUGUAGGUGAAGCGACUUGCUCGUGGAGCUGAAAUCAGUCGAAGAUACCAGCUGGCUGCAACUGUUUAUUAAAAACACAGCACUGUGCAAACACGAAAGUGGACGUAUACGGUGUGACGCCUGCCCGGUGCCGGAAGGUUAAUUGAUGGGGUUAGCGCAAGCGAAGCUCUUGAUCGAAGCCCCGGUAAACGGCGGCCGUAACUAUAACGGUCCUAAGGUAGCGAAAUUCCUUGUCGGGUAAGUUCCGACCUGCACGAAUGGCGUAAUGAUGGCCAGGCUGUCUCCACCCGAGACUCAGUGAAAUUGAACUCGCUGUGAAGAUGCAGUGUACCCGCGGCAAGACGGAAAGACCCCGUGAACCUUUACUAUAGCUUGACACUGAACAUUGAGCCUUGAUGUGUAGGAUAGGUGGGAGGCUUUGAAGUGUGGACGCCAGUCUGCAUGGAGCCGACCUUGAAAUACCACCCUUUAAUGUUUGAUGUUCUAACGUUGACCCGUGAUCCGGGUUGCGGACAGUGUCUGGUGGGUAGUUUGACUGGGGCGGUCUCCUCCUAAAGAGUAACGGAGGAGCACGAAGGUUGGCUAAUCCUGGUCGGACAUCAGGAGGUUAGUGCAAUGGCAUAAGCCAGCUUGACUGCGAGCGUGACGGCGCGAGCAGGUGCGAAAGCAGGUCAUAGUGAUCCGGUGGUUCUGAAUGGAAGGGCCAUCGCUCAACGGAUAAAAGGUACUCCGGGGAUAACAGGCUGAUACCGCCCAAGAGUUCAUAUCGACGGCGGUGUUUGGCACCUCGAUGUCGGCUCAUCACAUCCUGGGGCUGAAGUAGGUCCCAAGGGUAUGGCUGUUCGCCAUUUAAAGUGGUACGCGAGCUGGGUUUAGAACGUCGUGAGACAGUUCGGUCCCUAUCUGCCGUGGGCGCUGGAGAACUGAGGGGGGCUGCUCCUAGUACGAGAGGACCGGAGUGGACGCAUCACUGGUGUUCGGGUUGUCAUGCCAAUGGCACUGCCCGGUAGCUAAAUGCGGAAGAGAUAAGUGCUGAAAGCAUCUAAGCACGAAACUUGCCCCGAGAUGAGUUCUCCCUGACUCCUUGA
rnacentral:rRNA from 1 species